AGAGUUUGAUUCUGGCUCAGAACGAACGCUGGCGGCAUGCCUUACACAUGCAAGUCGAACGGGUCUAGCAAUAGACUAGUGGCGAACGGGUGAGUAACACGUGAGUAACCUGCCUCAUACUUGGGGAUAACACAGAGAAAUUUGUGCUAAUACCGAAUAAGACCACAGUGCGGAAUCGUACAGGGGUAAAAGUUCCGGCGGUAUGAGAUGGACUCGCGGCCUAUUAGCUAGUUGGUGGGGUAACGGCCCACCAAGGCGACGAUGGGUAGCCGGCCUGAGAGGGUGAUCGGCCACACUGGGACUGAGAUACGGCCCAGACUCCUACGGGAGGCAGCAGUGGGGAAUAUUGGGCAAUGGGCGCAAGCCUUACCCAGCAAUGCCGCGUGAGUGAAGAAGGUCUUCGGAUUGUAAAGCUCUUUGAUUGGCCAAGAAGAAAGUGACUAGCCAAAGAACAAGCCCCGGCUAACUACGUGCCAGCAGCCGCGGUAAUACGUAGGGGGCAAGCGUUGUUCGGAAUGACUGGGCGUAAAGGGUGCGUAGGCGGUUUUUUAAGUUGAAAGUGUAAUACCCAGGGCUCAACUCGGGUGCUGCUUUCAAAACUGGAAGACUUGAGUGAUGGAGAGGACAGUGGAAUUCCUAGUGUAGCGGUGGAAUGCGUAGAUAUUAGGAGGAACAUCGGAGGCGAAGGCGACUGUCUGGACAUUUACUGACGCUGAGGCACGAAAGUGUGGGGAGCAAACAGGAUUAGAUACCCUGGUAGUCCACACCGUAAACGAUGGAUACUAGAUGUGGGGGGUAUCGACUCCCUCCGUGUCGCAGUAAACACAAUAAGUAUCCCGCCUGGGGAGUACGGCCGCAAGGUUGAAACUCAAAGAAAUUGACGGGGACCCGCACAAGCAGCGGAGCAUGUGGUUUAAUUCGAAGCAACGCGAAGAACCUUACCAAGACUUGACAUACUAUGCCAACCCUAGAGAUAGGGCUUUCCUUCGGGACAUAGAUACAGGUGGUGCAUGGUUGUCGUCAGCUCGUGUCGUGAGAUGUUGGGUUAAGUCCCGCAACGAGCGCAACCCUUAUCAUCAGUUGCCAAUAUUAAGUUAGGAACUCUGAUGAGACUGCCGUGGACAACACGGAGGAAGGUGGGGAUGACGUCAAAUCAUCAUGCCCCUUACGUCUUGGGCUACACACGUGCUACAAUGGCUAUUACAAAGAGCAGCAAAACAGUAAUGUCGAGCGAAUCUCAAAAAGAUAGUCUCAGUUCGGAUUGAGGGCUGCAACCCGCCCUCAUGAAGUCGGAGUUGCUAGUAAUCCCGAAUCAGAAUGUCGGGGUGAAUGCGUUCCCGGGUCUUGUACACACCGCCCGUCAAGCCAUGGGAGUCGGGGGUACCCAAAGCCGGUGAGCUAACCGCAAGGAGGCAGCCGUCUAAGGUAAAAUCGAUGACUGGGGUUAAGUCGUAACAAGGUAGCCGUAUCGGAAGGUGCGGCUG
rnacentral:rRNA from 1 species